GUCAUUUGUGAUGAAAAACUACAGCGAAAAUGAAUGAAAAUGAUUAUAUUUUUCAUGCACUACCAUCUGAAAUUAC